CUUCAUAGUUGCAAGUGCUGUCCAUCAUAAACUCAGUUAUUAUUUUGGUCGAAGCCACAUGGUUGAUUGUUAUGUCACACCUAGCCAGAUUCCCUUCAUAGCUGCAAAUGUUGUCCAUCAUAAGCUCAGUUAUUAUUUUGGACACGCCAGGUCGAAGCCACAUGGUUGAUUGUUAUGUCACACCUAGCCAGAUUCCCUUCAUAGCUGCAAAUGUUGUCCAUCAUAAGCUCAGUUAUUAUUUUGGUAUGUAUCUACCUUGUUAUUCUUAUACAUAUUCUAUGUUUACAUUGCUGAUAAAAUCAUAUAGCUAAUUAUGAUGGAUCAAUUAAGUGAAAAAAUUAAAUAAAAAUGU